AUUGAACGCUGGCGGCAUGCUUUACACAUGCAAGUCGAACGGUAACAGGCCGCAAGGUGCUGACGAGUGGCGAACGGGUGAGUAAUGCGUCGGAACGUGCCCAGUCGUGGGGGAUAACGCAGCGAAAGCUGCGCUAAUACCGCAUACGAUCUAUGGAUGAAAGCGGGGGACCGUAAGGCCUCGCGCGAUUGGAGCGGCCGAUGUCAGAUUAGGUAGUUGGUGGGGUAAAGGCUCACCAAGCCAACGAUCUGUAGCUGGUCUGAGAGGACGACCAGCCACACUGGGACUGAGACACGGCCCAGACUCCUACGGGAGGCAGCGGUGGGGAAUUUUGGACAAUGGGCGCAAGCCUGAUCCAGCAAUGCCGCGUGCAGGAAGAAGGCCUUCGGGUUGUAAACUGCUUUUGUACGGAACGAAACGGUCCGGGUUAAUACUCUGGGCUAAUGACGGUACCGUAAGAAUAAGCACCGGCUAACUACGUGCCAGCCGCCGCGGUAACAC
rnacentral:rRNA from 1 species